UACGUAGGGUGCGAGCGUUAAUCGGAAUUACUGGGCGUAAAGCGUGCGCAGGCGGUUUUGUAAGCCAGGUGUGAAAUCCCCGGGCUCAACCUGGGAAUGGCAUUUGGGACUGCAAGGCUGGAGUGCGGCAGAGGAGACUGGAAUUCCUGGUGUAGCAGUGAAAUGCGUAGAUAUCAGGAGGAACGCCGAUGGCGAAGGCAGGUCUCUGGGCUGACACUGACGCUCAUGCACGAAAGCGUGGGGAGCAAACAGG
rnacentral:rRNA from 1 species